rnacentral:rRNA from 1 species
UUUGAAAAAAAAAUCUUGAGUAAUGGAGAGGAAGACGGAAUUCCUAGUGUAACGGUGAAAUGCGUAGAUAUUAGGAGGAACACCAGUGGCGAAGGCGGCCUGCUGGACAACAACUGACGCUGAGGCGCGAAAGCGUGGGGAGCAAACA